UACAGAGGUCUCAAGCGUUGUUCGGAUUCAUUGGGCGUAAAGGGUGCGUAGGUGGCGCCGUAAGUCAGGUGUGAAAUUUCGGAGCUCAACUCCGAAACUGCAUUUGAUACUGCGGUGCUUGAGGACUGGAGAGGAGACUGGAAUUCACGGUGUAGCAGUGAAAUGCGUAGAUAUCGUGAGGAAGACCAGUGGCGAAGGCGGGUCUCUGGACAGUUCCUGACACUGAGGCACGAAGGCCAGGGGAGCAAACGGG
rnacentral:rRNA from 1 species